rnacentral:lncRNA from 1 species
GAGGUGGAUGAAUUUGUCUUUCAAAACCCCGUUGUCUCAAAUCUAGGAAUAUAUCGUCGAAGUUGUGUUGACUAGUCGAGAAGGUCUGACAGAAGCACGUCUGAGAUUUGAAUCGUACACGUAUUUUUUGUGGUUUAAGUCUUCUCGAAAUGGCAAUUGAUGGGUGUGUAUGCGCUGCAAAUUCGGAGAAUUAGAUUUGGAACAAGGUUAGUUUAAUCUUUUCAAUCCUAUUGAUAGAGGUUCUGCUGAAAGUUUUAUUCAUGAGAGAGUUUCGUUUGGAACUUAUGGUCGUGAACAGUUAACUCAGUAACCACCAUUUUUUUCUCCCGAUUUUGCCACUACUUUUGCUGAACGUGUACGGCUAUAUGUUUGGGAACAGUAACUCAGUGACGACCAUAUUUUUUUGUCGCUUUUGCCACUACUUUUGCUGAAUGUUGGACAGUUUUCAUCCUCUUAGUGAUCGAAACAGAGCAUCGAACCUAAUUUCUUAUAGUCGGUGGGUUUGGUUCUCUCAGCAGAGUGAGAGUGGUUUGUACGGUAAAAUUGAGAGAGAAAAAGCAAGGGUGAAGGGUUGAUGAAGGUGAAUCUUUGCCUUCACAAUCACGUUGUCUUAGAUCCAAGAUUUGUCGUCGAUCGAAGUGGUUAAGAUUCGAGAAGAGUCUCGACAGAAGCAAGUCGAGAUUUGGAUCGUACACGUAUUUCUUAUGGUUUUUUAAAAGUUCUUCUACAAAAUUGGCGAUUGAUGUUGAUGUGUAUGCGCUCGCACUCCUUGAGAAUCAGAUUUGGAACAAUGGUUAGUUUAAUCUUUUCAAUCCUAUUGAUAGCGUUUCGUGGGAAAGUUUUUAUUCAUGAGAUUUGUUUUCAUUUGGAAUAAAUGGAGUGAAUAGUAAUAAUUUAGUACACCAUUUGUUUCUCCCAAUUUGCCCUUACUUUUGUUUGAAGUUUGUUACGGUAUACGUCUGAACCCAUAUUUUUUUUACCAUUUUUUGGUCUUACUUUGCUGAACGUGGGACGGUUUUCACCCUCUUAGUUAAUCGAAUUAUAAAGCCAUACAAAUCCCUGAGUUCUAUAGUAGGUGGGUUUGUUUCUCUCAAGACGGAGAGGGACUGGUUUGUACGGUAAAAUGGAGCAAGAAGCAAGCGUUGAUGAAGGUGAAUUUAUGCCUUUGAAAAUCGACGUGUCUCAGAUCCAAGAUUUGUCGUCGAAAUUGUGUUAACCAUUCCAGUAUAUCUGACAGAAGCAAGUCUGAGAUUUGCGAUCGUACACGUAUUUCUUGUGGUUUAAAAGUUCUUCUACAAAAUGGCGAU